rnacentral:rRNA from 1 species
CCUACGGGUGGCUGCAGUCGAGAAUCUUCCGCAAUGGGCGCAAGCCUGACGGAGCAAUGCCGCGUGAGGGAUGAAGGCCUUCGGGUCGUAAACCUCUGUCGCCCGGGACGAAGUCAAUGACGGUACCGGGAGAGGAAGCUACGGCUAACUACGUGCCAGCAGCCGCGGUAAUACGUAGGUAGCGAGCGUUAUUCGGAUUUACUGGGCGUAAAGGGUCCGCAGGAGGCCUGCCAAGUCUGGUGUGAAAGCCCACAGCUCAACUGUGGAACGGCACCGGAAACUGGCGGGCUAGAGUGCAUGAGGGGUGAAUGGAACUCCAGGUGUAGCGGUGGAAUGCGUAGAUAUCUGGAAGAACACCGAUGGCGAAGGCGAUUCACUGGCAUGCAACUGACUCUCAGGGACGAAAGCGUGGGUAGCAAACAGGAUUAGAUACCCCAGUAGUC